rnacentral:misc_RNA from 1 species
UCACCUCUCAAGCCACUUUUGCUUGGUGUUGGAUGGAUGGUUCGUAAGAACCCCUCCCAAAGUUAAUGACGGUGGCUCGUUAACCCCCGGUACACUGAGCUUCUUUAUUGAGCACGUAUCGGUUUCAAGGGUAGCGGCAGCCGGUCUUCUUCCUUUAUUGGAAACCUCUCUCAA